GAUGAACGCUGGCGGCGUGCCUAAUACAUGCAAGUCGAGCGAACGGACGAGAAGCUUGCUUCUCUGAUGUUAGCGGCGGACGGGUGAGUAACACGUGGAUAACCUACCUAUAAGACUGGGAUAACUUCGGGAAACCGGAGCUAAUACCGGAUGAUAUUUUGAACCGCAUGGUUCAAAAGUGAAAGACGUUCUUGCUGUCACUUAUAGAUGGUUCCGCGCUGCAUUAGCUAGUUGGUAAGGUAACGGCUUACCAAGGCAACGAUGCAUAGCCGACCUGAGAGGGUGAUCGGCCACACUGGAACUGAGACACGGUCCAGACUCCUACGGGAGGCAGCAGUAGGGAAUCUUCCGCAAUGGGCGAAAGCCUGACGGAGCAACGCCGCGUGAGUGAUGAAGGUCUUCGGAUCGUAAAACUCUGUUAUUAGGGAAGAACAUAUGUGUAAGUAACUGUGCACAUCUGGACGGUACAUAAUCAGAAAGCCACGGCUAACUACGU
rnacentral:rRNA from 1 species